rnacentral:lncRNA from 1 species
AUGGGGACCCCAAAGUGCCCUGUCCACAAAUGGGGGGGACCCCAAAGUGCCCCGUCCCCAAAUGGGGGGGACCCCAAAGUGCCCUGUCCUGAAAUAUGGGGACCCCAAAGUGCCCCGUCCCCAAAUGGGGGGGGACCCCAAAGUGCCCUGUCCUGAAAUAUGGGGACCCCAAAGUGCCCUGUCCCCAAGUGGGGGGACCCCAAAUUACCCCCUCCUGAAACAUGGGGACCUCAAAGUGCCCUGUCCUGAAACAUGGGGGGACCCCAAAUGGGGGGGACCCCAAAACCCCCCAUCCCGAAACAUGGGGACCCCAAAGUGCCCUGUCCCCGAAUGGGGGGGACCCCCGUGUCCCCGUGUCUCUGUGUCCCCGUGUCCCCAUGUCCCUGUGUUCCUGUGUCCCCAUGUCCCCGUGUCACGAUGUCCCCAUGUCCCCCUGUCUUUGUGUCCCCGUGUUACGAUGUCCCCGUGUCCCCAUCUUUGUGUCCCCAUGUCACAAUGUCCCCAUGUCCCCAUGUCACGAUGUCCCCAUGUGCCACUGUCUUUGUGUCCCUGUGUCCCCGUGUCACAAUGUCCCCGUGUCCCAUGUCCCCGUGUCCCAUAUCCCCAUGUCCCCAUGUCUCUGUGUCCCCGUGUCCCUAUGUCAUGAUGUCCCUGUGUCCCUGUGUCCCCAUGUCCCUGUGUCCCCAUGUCCCCCUGUCUUUGUGUCCCCGUGUUCCCAUGUCCCCAUGUCACGAUGUCCCCAUGUCCCACUGUCCCUGUGUCCCCAUAUCCUUGUGUCCUCGUGUCACGAUGUCCCCAUGUCCCUGUGUCCCAUGUCCCCAUGUCUCUGUGUUCCCGUGUCCCUAUGUCAUGAUGUCCCUGUGUUCCUGUGUCCCCGUGUCCCCGUGUCACCAUGUCCCCGUGUCCCCAUGUCCCCCUGUCUUUGUGUCCCCGUGUCCCCAUGUCACGAUGUCCUUGUGUCCCCAUGUCCCUUUGUCUUUGUGUCCCCGUGUCCCCAUGUCACGAUGUCCCCAUGUCCCCAUGUCCCCCUGUCUUUGUGUCCCCAUGUCCCCGUGUCCCUCUGUCUUUGUGUCCCCGUGUCCCCCUGUCUUUGUGUCCCCAUGUCCCCGUGUCCCCGUCCCUCACCGCCAGCACGGCGCCAUCGCUGAUCACCAGGUAGCCCACCUGGUCCGGGAUGCGCUCCAAGCCCUGGGUCAGCGCCGUCGUC